rnacentral:lncRNA from 1 species
CUUUCUCCUCAGCAGGGCGCAGCGCCAGGGCUGAGCUCCACUCUGGAAGCGCAGGGCGCCGCGGCCUGGCUCAGCCUCCGGGAGGGGGCUGUGGUGGUGGAGACACCCCGAGCAGGGAGACGGACUAGGAGACGCUGUAGGGAGCCCGGUUUGUGGCUCUCUGUUGGGGCCCCAGGGAGGACCCCCAGUCGAGCCCCCGGCUGACACCGCACGAGCAGAGACGACCGUCCCCACCGAGCUGCCCUUGUCACAGAAUAAACCGUCACUGUUGUUUCAGGGCCGUCGAUUUGGGGACGAUUUGUUACGCAGCGACAAACCGAUACGCUGCCUGUGGCUCCCGCAGCCCUCGGCAGGUGCUGGCUUCUCCGCGGAGGCCCCAGACGCGCCUCCCCGAGCCGGGCAAUUCUCGCUAGUCUCCUGGUUUAGACAGUAAGUCGUAGGGCCCCUGACGGAGGCACAGCUCCCCUCCGAGGCGAGCCGGGGCCCCCUGCCCGCGGCCUGCGGGGCAUCAAGCGGACACCCAGACGCUGGAAGUGAAGGCCCCUCCCACCGAGGCGGGAGCUCCUUCCGGAUCAGCAGCCCUUCACCCCUGCCCCGCCUUCCCCCACGCACACCCUGGGGGCGCCCCGGGGGCCGCGGGCGGCUCCGCUCCGUCCACCCCCUCUACGCCUGCUUUCUCUUUUGGGGUCACCCCGAACCUCCUUUGACCCAUGGGCCGGAAGGGGCACGGUUGGUGUCUGCUUUCUCGAGCUUGGUAAACUGAGGCAGCGUGGGGGUGGGGAGCCCAGGACCCCCAGUGUCGGGCGUGCCUCGCCCUAGCGCGGAGGUUUAGAUGCCCGGGAGGCCAAGCGGGCAGGACCCCGCCUCCACUUCCUCCUCUGGGAAAGGGCUCUGGGAGCUGGGCCCCCGCGCCGGCGCCCCCCCAGUGCCCGCCCCACGUAUUUUUAGCGAGAGGAUCACGUGCGCCUGACAGCACAGGCUGAGCCGUCCGUUUCCUUCGGGACAAGACAGGAACUUGUGUUUAUCAGCGGCCCCCGGGACGCCCCGGCUUCCUGCAGGUCCAGCCCCCG